AAUAAACUAUUUCUAACACCCGUAAUAGAUGCGAUAAAGCAACUGCCAAGUGCUGUCCUAUCGAUUCUGGUACUACAUCAAAAUGGGAGGGGUAAGUGGAGUCAACGGAAAAGCGUCAGCUGUUGACUUACCAAUGUGAAGAUACUGUGGGCUACUAUACUGGCUGCUGGCCUCCUUGAUUAGCCAUUCAUGAGUCAACAUAGAGAUUUCAGAGCUCCACAGGAGACACUUACUCCUGUUUAAAAAUGAUCCAUGAUGCACUGAAGACUGAGGUGAGGCUGACUGAUCUGAAGAUCCGUGGAUUGUCCUUCUUCCCUUUUUUUUAAAGUGACAGUCUUGAGCACUUGUGCACCUCGGUCCUUCAUAUUCUCUGCCUGUGGCACGUGAGUUUCAUCCAGGAAUGGACAAUAAUUUUCAUAAGGGGGCCACUCGAUGAAUUUUGGUUUAAUACUUGGCUGAGAAGACUUGAAUAGAAAAUACCAUGUGAGUAGUCCAGAAAAAUGAUGUGACAGGUGCUUAGCCUCAUUUUUCAUGCUAGCUUUGCCAUGCCAUUUUCACCAGUAAUGAAGGCAGCUGCCAGAGCUCGAGGAAGUCAGGCGAAAAAUUCAGCUGGCAGGUAGACCCAGUCACUUUAAGAAACAUAAUCUUAUGUUAGCAGAUGGUAAUUAAAAGGCAGAAGAAAUAAAAUUUUGUCUCCGUUUUCUGCACUGUUACAUCAAUUAAAUCUGCAACUGAAAUGCAAGCAGAAAAUAACAUUUAUUUCC